rnacentral:lncRNA from 1 species
AGCCUGAAAUCCUGCUUCCACUAAGUACCAGCUGGGUAACUUCAGGUGGAGCCCAGUUGACAGGAAAUGUUUCUCCAGAAGCUGAAAAGCUGCCUGGUAAAGGCCUUUCAUAAAAUGGUCUGCGUUUGGGACCAGGAAGACAGAAGACUCCUCAAGAAGAGAACUGGAACCUUAACCCACUUCAGACUUCUUCAUGUCUGAAGCUUAUUUCCACCAUCCCAUUGAGAACCAAAGA